GAUGGAUUCAAGGUACUAAUUAAGUGAUUUCCUGCUCUGGGGAUUUAGGUAGAGAGGAAUUCCUGGCCACAAAGACUGUGUACUACCUGCUGACUCUGAAAAAGAUGAAGAGAAUCUUUCCACUGCCAACCUGAAGUUACAGAGAAUCACUUAGUAGUGUAACAGGUUUCAUCCUUAUUUACCCUCACAAUCCUUGGGCUGUGCUGAACUCCAUAGCAAUCUACCCAUUGAUUAACACUGCUAGCUCAAACCAGUUUGCAAUAUUAGCCCCCUGCAACCACACUAAGGUUCGAUUGGUGUUUUGGGUGACUUUGCAGUUUGCUACAUCUGUCUCUGCUUCUUGUGUAGACCUGGGAUUGUACAAAACAUAUUGAUUGACCCAUACCCCUGAGGAAGGCAGCGAUUUGCCGAAACAUGUUGGGACUUUGUAACAACCCAUGUUAAUUCUAGUCUACCUUUAAUGUUUUUA